AUGUGCAGUUAUGGCGGUGGCGACGUCGAUGACUGGUAUGAUGAUUCUGAUACGGAUGACCACGCCGAAGACACGGGCGAUGACAGGCACCAUGAGCAAGGAGCAAAGAACUCCGAUUUAGACCUGGAUGAUGAAGAUCGGACCUUUUUGAGUCAGUUUCCAGAUACUUGGGGGGCAGCGCCCACAAGAAAAGAAAAAGACAUCCAAGGAAUACAAUGGAAGAGGCUGGAUAUCACACGUGAACAGUACAGACAGACCAGGUUGCAGCAGUACAAAAACUACGAGAGCAUUCCUAAUUCUGGAGAAGAAGCAGCCGAGGAAUGCAAACAGACUGAGAAAGACGGAAUGUAUUACGAAUUCAGAAAAAAUACUAGAUCUGUAAAAUCAACUAUACUACAUUUCCAGCUGAGAAAUUUAGUAUGGGCCACAUCCAAGCAUGAUGUCUACCUGAUGUAUCAUUACUCAGUCCUUCACUGGUCUGCAUUGAGUGGUGUGGAUACUGAACUUAUGAACGUCCGUGGUCAUGUGGCACCAAAGGAGAAGCACCCAGGAAGUCUAUUAGAGGGGUUUUCUCAGACUAAGGUUAGUACCAUGGCAGUGAAGGACAAUUUGCUGGUAGCUGGUGGAUUUCAAGGGGAGCUAAUCUGCAAGCACCUUGAUCGAGAGGGGAUAAGCUUUUGUUGUCGAACAUCACAUGAUGAUAAUGCUAUGACUAAUGCAAUUGAGAUAUUCAAUACUUCUAGUGGCGCUGUUCAUUUCAUGGCAUCGAGUAAUGACAACGGUGUAAGAGACUAUGACAUGGAGAGAUUCCAGUUGUGCAAUCACUUUCAGUUUGAUUGUCCAGUGAAUCAUACAUCGCUGAGUCCCGACAGAAAGCUUGUUCUCGCCGUGGGGGACCAUCCUGAUGGUUUACUUGUUGAUGCGAAUUCAGGAGAGACGCUUCAUUCCAUGAAAGGCCAUCACGACUACUCUUUCGCAUCGGCCUGGAGCCCUGAUGGACGAACAUUCGCUACCGGGAACCAAGACAAGACAUGCCGAGUCUGGGACAUUAGAAACCUGUCGAAAGCCGUCCAUGUACUGAAGGGCAACCUUGGGGCCAUUAGGUCGAUCCGCUUCACUUCUGACGGGCAGUUCCUGGCGAUGGCGGAACAUGCGGACUUCGUCCAGAUCUUCGACGCCCGGAGCGACUACACCAAAAGGCAAGAGCUGGACUUCUUUGGCGAGAUAUCUGGGAUCUCCUUCAGCCCGGAUAUGGACGCUCUUUUCGUCGGUGUGUGGGAUAGAACAUAUGGCAGCCUCCUCCAGUAUGGUCGUUUACAUAAUAACAACUAG
rnacentral:rRNA from 1 species